AGCUUUGCGCAGUGGCAGUAUCGUAGCCAAUGAGGUUUAUCCGAGGCGCGAUUAUUGCUAGUUAGCUUCUAGAGAAGAGGCACAGAUAUGCCCCAUGGUAUCUAGUAUGCCUGAGUCAACACACACAGAAACACUUCUAGACCAUAUGUCAAAAUCCCUUUCAUGAUUGCUUAUGAAAGGAAUUUAACAAGAGAUAGU
rnacentral:snRNA from 1 species